UAUUGUCAAUUAGGUAAUGGAUAAUUAAAUUUAAUCUUUAUGUUUAUUUUAUAUAAAUAUUUAUGAUUCUUUUAAGAAUUUAAACAACUGUAAUAACAGAAUGUCAAGUGAUUCAACGGAUCCAGGCGACCUUGAGUUCAUACCACCAACUCCAAAAAAAGUUUUUAGAAAGAAAAAGGAAAAGACCCCCGAACCAGAACGAGAAGUGGGAGAACAUAGUGAUUCAGACAGUGGGCCCCCAAGUCCAAGCAUUCUUAGAAGAAAAGUGUAUCAUACUGGUGCCUGGUUUCCCUGAUUGGUUCAAUAUAAAGUAUUCCGAGGAUCCAGCGAUCUACAGUUAUAAACUGAAAAAUGAUCUUGAAUCAGGCGAUUUAAAAAUUCAAGUUUAAAAGACUUUGCAUUUGUUUUUUGAAGUUAAAUCAGCUGUAAAUUUUGUAAUUACUUAAAAUUGUGUUAAAUAAAUUUUA